rnacentral:rRNA from 1 species
UACGGAGGGUGCAAGCGUUAAUCGGAAUUACUGGGCGUAAAGGGUGCGCAGGUGGUUUGAUAAGAUAUCUGUGAAAUCCCCGGGCUCAACCUGGGAAGGUCAGAUAAGACUGUCAGACUCGAGUACGGGAGAGGGUAGUGGAAUUUCCGGUGUAGCGGUGAAAUGCGUAGAGAUCGGAAGGAACACCAGUGGCGAAGGCGGCUACCUGGCCUGAUACUGACACUGAGGCACGAAAGCGUGGGGAGCAAACAGGAUUAGAUACCCUGGUAGUCCACGCCGUAAACGAUGUCAACUGGCUAUUGGUCAUAUGAAUAUGAUUAGUGGCGUAGCUAACGCGAUAAGUUGACCGCCUGGGGAGUACGGUCGCAAGAUUAAA